GAUGAACGCUGGCGGCGUGCCUAAUACAUGCAAGUCGAGCGAACGGACGAGAAGCUUGCUUCUCUGAUGUUAGCGGCGGACGGGUGAGUAACACGUGGAUAACCUACCUAUAAGACUGGGAUAACUUCGGGAAACCGGAGCUAAUACCGGAUGAUAUUUUGAACCGCAUGGUUCAAAAGUGAAAGACGGUCUUGCUGUCACUUAUAGAUGGAUCCGCGCUGCAUUAGCUAGUUGGUAAGGUAACGGCUUACCAAGGCAACGAUGCAUAGCCGACCUGAGAGGGUGAGCGGCCACACUGGAACUGAGACACGGUCCAGACUCCUACGGGAGGCAGCAGUAGGGAAUCUGCCGCAAUGGGCGAAAGCCUGACGGAGCAACGCCGCGUGAGUGAUGAAGGUCUUCGGAUCGUAAAACUCUGUUAUUAGGGAAGAACAUAUGUGUAAGUAACUGUGCACAUCUUGACGGUACCUAAUCAGAAAGCCACGGCUAACUACGUG
rnacentral:rRNA from 1 species